rnacentral:lncRNA from 1 species
CCGGCCACACCUAUUCUGCUCCUCAGCCGGUCCUCUCUUCCUUUUGCUCAGUGAUGCUUUCAAAUAGUCCAGGCUCUUUUAAACUGCCACGAUAGCUGAGGCUGGUCUUUGGAGUGCUGGGAUUAUAGAUGAGAGCCAUGCUGCCCAGCCUUAUAUUUCUUUACUUUUUAGGUUACAUUAUUCUGCUAUGGGUAGUCUUGGCUGAGACGGUGGCUCACACAGCAAAGUGUGUUCCACGAGAGCGAGAGAACCUGAGCUCAGACCCCAACACUCACAUGGGAAGCUGGGUGCGGUGGCUUGUGUCUCUAAUCUCAGCACUGUGGAGGAGACAGAUGCAUUUCUGGGGCUUGCUGGCCAGCCAGCCUAGUUGAAUUGGCGUGGUUCAAUGGAAGAUCUCGUCUCAAAAAGAAAGAUGGAGAUCAAUUAAGAAAGAUGGGGGCUGGGGAUUUAGCUCAGUGGUAGAGCGCUUACCUAGGAAGCGCAAGGCCCUGGGUUCGGUCCCCAGCUCCGAAAAAAAGAAAAAAAAAAAAAAAAAAAGAAAGAAAGAUGGGCAAUGACAACUUCUAACCCCCCUCAUUCCUAUGUGUAUACACAUACAUGCCCACGUGUGUACACCCACAUAAGCAUACAUUUAUGCGGGUGCACACACACACAGAGUGUUGAAUUUAUGCUAUUUUUAACCCUGAGUGGCCGCCUAUCACACAAGGAUAUUACUCAUUCAAAUUUACUACAGUCCUGUAACUGGUACACAGCUG